AUUGAACGCUGGCGGCAGGCCUAACACAUGCAAGUCGAGCGGAAACGAGAAUAGCUUGCUAUUCGGCGUCGAGCGGCGGACGGGUGAGUAAUGCCUGGGAAAUUGCCCUGAUGUGGGGGAUAACCAUUGGAAACGAUGGCUAAUACCGCAUAACGCCUUCGGGCCAAAGAGGGGGACCUUCGGGCCUCUCGCGUCAGGAUAUGCCCAGGUGGGAUUAGCUAGUUGGUGAGGUAAAGGCUCACCAAGGCGACGAUCCCUAGCUGGUCUGAGAGGAUGAUCAGCCACACUGGAACUGAGACACGGUCCAGACUCCUACGGGAGGCAGCAGUGGGGAAUAUUGCACAAUGGGCGCAAGCCUGAUGCAGCCAUGCCGCGUGUAUGAAGAAGGCCUUCGGGUUGUAAAGUACUUUCAGCAGUGAGGAAGGGUGUGAAGUUAAUAGCUUCAUAUCUUGACGUUAGCUGCAGAAGAAGC
rnacentral:rRNA from 1 species